rnacentral:rRNA from 1 species
GACGAACGCUGGCGGCGUGCUUAACACAUGCAAGUCGAACGGUGAAGGGGUCUGCUUUUGUGGGCCCUGGAUGAGUGGCGAACGGGUGAGUAACACGUGAGUAACCUGCCCCCUUCUUCUGGAUAACCGCAUGAAAGUGUGGCUAAUACGGGAUAUUCUGGGUCUGUCGCAUGAUGGGUCUGGGAAAGAUUGCGCCUUUGGGUGUUUGUGGUGGGGGAUGGGCUCGCGGCCUAUCAGCUUGUUGGUGGGGGGAUGGCCUACCAAGGCGGUGACGGGUAGCCGGCCUGAGAGGGUGGACGGUCACACUGGGGCUGAGACACGGCCCAGACUCCUACGGGAGGCAGCAGUGGGGAAUAUUGCACAAUGGGCGCAAGCCUGAUGCAGCGACGCCGCGUGAGGGAUGGAGGCCUUCGGGUUGUAAACCUCUUUCGCCAGUGAAGCAGGCCUGCUCCUUGUGGGUGGGUUGACGGUAGCUGGAUAAGAAGCGCCGGCUAACUACGUG